rnacentral:misc_RNA from 1 species
GGUUCCUGGGACAGGAUUUCAGGGGGAGGAGACAGCAGGCAUGUGAUGAAGUUCAUUGUUGAUUCUCUUAGAGAAACUGAAGCUCCUUUUGCACAUGCAAUUCCACUAGAUUCAGCUCCUAAAAGCCUGGUUUCAAGCCACUUUGACAGGUAGACCAUGUCCAUAUGAAGAAACUUCUUCUGCAACUUCUCUUUGACAUGAGCAUAUAAAUCUCCAGAUAAAAGAUCAACAAAAAAGUUGAGAACCCUGGUAUUGACAAGCUCAGAGUUGCAUCUGUCUAGAGCAUCAACCAGAACCAACAAAUCACCACGUUGUGAACCAUAAAGAUCUUUAAUUUGUCCGGAGACGUCCUCGAGAGAGAGGAAAUAACUCAAAACCCCAAUUCUGGAAGGCUCUCUCUUUAAGCUAUCAACAAUAUCAAUUACCUUGACAACAAGAACAUCAUAAAUGUCGCUAGAAUCAGCA